rnacentral:rRNA from 1 species
GAUGAACGUUGGCGGCGUGCCUAAUACAUGCAAGUCGAGCGAACGGACGAGAAGCUUGCUUCUCUGAUGUUAGCGGCGGACGGGUGAGUAACACGUGGAUAACCUACCUAUAAGACUGGGAUAACUUCGGGAAACCGUAGCUAAUACCGGAUAAUAUUUUGAACCGCAUGGUUCAAAAGUGAAAGACGGUCUUGCUGUCACUUAUAGAUGGAUCCGCGCUGCAUUAGCUAGUUGGUAAGGUAACGGCUUACCAAGGCAACGAUGCAUAGCCGACCUGAGAGGGUGAUCGGCCACACUGGAACUGAGACACGGUCCAGACUCCUACGGGAGGCAGCAGUAGGGAAUCUUCCGCAAUGGGCGAAAGCCUGACGGAGCAACGCCGCGUGAGUGAUGAAGGUCUUCGGAUCGUAAAACUCUGUUAUUAGGGAAGAACAUAUGUGUAAGUAACUGUGCACAUCUUGACGGUACCUAAUCAGAAAGCCACGGCUAACUACGUG